AUUACACAUCAAUACAGGGACAUUCCUGUGAAUACAAUGAAAACAAUAAAACACCAAGCGAACCACCCCACGCCCCCUCCAAAAAAUAAUAAUAAUUCAGGACGUUAUUGUUUAACAGACAUUCAGAGACACACGACUUCCAAUAUGUUUUCCAACUUUUUAAGUUUCACAAGUUUGAGGGAUUUAUAAAAUAAUAAGGAACAGUAGGUUCGUAAAAUGUAUGAAACUUUCGGAUUGGCUCGCGCAAAACAAUCGGAAUUCGAAUUUGGCAAACCAAACGGAUAGGUAAAACAAGCAGUGAGUGUGAAAAACGUUUAAGUGACCAAUGCCAGGCAGAGUGAUGCCACCGAAAGGGAGGGGAAUGGACAACAAAGGCCCAAAACAAAAAUUGUCACAAGAGGUUGAACAAACAUCUGCAUAUUGUGACAAUUCUCCAGCAAAAAAGAAAAAAUCACAGAGUAGUAAAACACCAGCUUCAUACUCUUCAGAUUUGUUUGAGGCUGAACUUGCAGGUGCAAAUAGAGAGGUCAACAUGCUAUUUUCCAAAUACUCUGAAGUGUUGAGGUCUGCAAGGACAAAGUCCAGACAAUAUUAUUACCCCAAAACAUCUGAAGACCUACAAAGCAAAAACAGCAGAUAGAUAUUAAAGCAGAACUAGAAAUUGUAUUAAAGGAGCUUGUGAGGAUUAAUAAACCUAAAAUAAAUGACUCUUUUAGAUUUUUUUUAUUUUACAAAGUGAAUAGUCAUAUGUUCUAAAGAUGAGAUGAAAAUAAAUUAGGCAAUAUACAGUCUGGCUACGAAACGUUUUAACCCUCAUU